rnacentral:rRNA from 1 species
GAUGAACGCUGGCGGCGUGCCUAAUACAUGCAAGUCGAGCGAACGGACGAGAAGCUUGCUUCUCUGAUGUUAGCGGCGGACGGGUGAGUAACACGUGGAUAACCUACCUAUAAGACUGGGAUAACUUCGGGAAACCGGAGCUAAUACCGGAUGAUAUUUUGAACCGCAUGGUUCAAAAGUGAAAGACGGUCUUGCUGUCACUUAUAGAUGGAUCCGCGCUGCAUUAGCUAGUUGGUAAGGUAACGGCUUACCAAGGCAACGAUGCAUAGCCGACCUGAGAGGGGAAUCGGCCAAACUGAAAGUGGAAAAGGGCCAAGAUGCCUAGGGGAGGCAGCGGAAGGGAAUCUUCGGAAAUGGCGAAAGCCUGACGGAGCAACGCCGCGUGAGUGAUGAAGGUCUUCGGAUCGUAAAACUCUGUUAUUAGGGAAGAACAUAUGUGUAAGUAACUGUGCACAUCUUGACGGUACCUAAUCAGAAAGCCACGGCUAACUACGUG